UCUGGUCUCCAAGAAGGGGGUGAUAUCAUUGGAUCCGUGGAGAGUAUUAGAAUAGUAGUUCUGGUGCAUCUAAUGUGGGACACCAGCCUGUCCAGAAAUUUUACAUGAUUGUAGUUGUUGUAGAUUCAUCAAAUCCAAGCUCUGGCACACUUUAUUAUUGGACAGGAAGAACAUACACACUGCCGGUUCAAAGUAUUCAAACAAAUUAGUUCACCUGGUAUUCAACAAUCCGAGGGAGCAGCCUUUUACCAUUGAGUAGAUAAAUGAAGUUCGAGAAAAGUUGGCAAAUUUCAU